GCUAGGAAAAAUAUAGAGCUGUUACAGAGGGUUUCUGUUCCAGGAGAGAUGGCACCUAGUGCAUCAAAUACUGCAAUAGGCGCCCUCUCUCCUGGGCAGAAACCCCCUUCACUCUCUAAUGCAUACUGCGCCACUUGGUUACGCACGAGCUGGACGAACCCUUUUCAAAGCACCUCCAAUCUCCUCACGAAUGUUUUGAGCGGUGGUUCAUGGCACUUGCAGAGACUAAACUCCUCCCAAUGAUCUCUCCCUUGUUUCCUUGGACGGUGAGUUUGUGGGUGCGUGCACGAAAUUUAAGCUGAGAAUCAUUACAAGCAAACAAUAUAUAUGGCAGGCCCUUUACUAAUUAAUCAGAACCCUAUAUGCGUCAGAAAACUCUUGCAAGGAGACUAGCUACUAGGCAUUAAUGACCUUAUGCCUUCCGAUAAAGAGAAUAAAAAGUCGGCCGAAACUCUUAUCUCUUCCUCUAUAUUAUAUAAAUAUAUAUUCAUCACAGAAAGAUUACAUCUAAAACUUGAUAUGUAGAUAAAUUCCCAAAUCACAAGUUAACUAUUGCGUUCGGAGCUUCACUAGCACACACUUGUGAUUGAUAUGUCUUAACUACUGUUGUAACUCUCUAUAGACAAACAGUCUAAGAGACAGUACACUGUCUAAAAUAGAAACUCAUAUACUACCCUCCAUAGGAGGAAAUGACUUAACCUCUACGAAUAAAACGUCAAAAAAGCGAUCUUUUAUUAUUAUUAUUAUUUUUUAAACUAAACAAAAGGAAACAACAAUGAAAGUUAAAAAAUAGAUGUGAAAAUAAUUAAUUACAGUUUAUAUAUAUUCUAGUAGAUUUUGAAAUUAGCCAUAAAAGUCAAAUCUGAAUGAUCUGAUCUAGUGAUCCGCCACUAUUUUUCCAACAAUCAGCAUAGGAAGCAUCUUGUGUUGCUCGCGUGUCACAACAGGUGUCAAAAAACUAUAGAUCUGUCUUUUCAAUCUUGAAGGAAACAAAAAAAAUUAGGGAAGGUGAUCAGGGAGAAGAGAAGGGAAUGAGGGAUGAAAAGGGGAGGAAAUGAGAGAGGGAAAGGAAGAGAAAGAAUGGAUAGAGAAUGAAGGAAUGGGAGGGGAAAGGGAAGAGGAGGAUCGAGGAGGAGGAGGAGGAGGGGCCUCCUCCCGCAAUUUGAAAAAUUUCUAAGAGAGAGUUUGAGAAUAAGAGUGUCGGAACUAGGAUUUCUAGAUUCUAUCUCUUCAUCUAUAUUGAUACGAAGAAACUAAUUUCAAUAUAUAGGUAUUAAUCCUCUUUCUUUGGCAAGUAUGGCAUCUCUAGUCUCCAACUUAAGAUUUACGCAUUCGCAUUUGACAGUCUGAUCAAACUUUUAAAGCAUUUGAUCAAAUAUGCCAUACUGUUACUAAGGCAUUAAUUAAGGUCAAUUAUACGUGCGGAGGACAAAAGCCCUAAUUAAGGUCAAUUAUACGUGCGGAAGACACAAGCCCUGAACCAAUUAAGUUAGCAUGCAUGGGCAAUAUCUAUAAAAAGAACACACGAACAAAACCUGCAAGGGAAACCAAAGUUAGCCUGGGUACUACACCAUUGCAGGCAACCGGCACUAGUAAUAACAAGCACACCAAAAAAAAAAAAAAAAUUUAAAAAUCCCAACCUCAAAUUGGAGGAGUGAAAAUUGAGGUAAUUCAUUUCUUAAUCCUUGAGAAAACACACCCUUGAGGGUGCCCUUAAUUAAGACAUUAGAGCGGUCAGUGUCACCAUAAUUUUGUUUGCAAACUGGAAAGCAUAGAGGCCGAAUGUAUCAGUUGCAUCCUUUAUAAAUAUGGCUAUAUAUUAAAGAUAAAGGCAUACUGCUUUAAGAACUACUUUACAUUUUAUUUGAAUUCCAAAGUACUGCUACUUCCAAAAGAAAAGUGUAGGUUCCAAAACCCUCUCUCUCCAAACACACAUACGUAAGAGCCAAGAGGAAUAUUUAUCUGAAUUUUAACAGGGACAAACCGGCCUCAUCAUGAAUAUCAUGAUCAUCAGAGGUAAACACACCGGUCUUACGACGAAGCUACUCACGUAUUGGCGCGUGCAGCUUUUUCUUUUCUUUUUCUUUUUCUUUGUUGUCAAUGGAUUAAUUGAGUGAUCAUGCGAAUGUUCCUAAUUAUUAGCGCACGGAGUCCAAGUUCAAAGUUUGAAUAAAUCCCUUGGAGA